CCUACGGGAGGCAGCAGUAGGGAAUCUUUCACAAUGGGCGAAAGCCUGAUGGAGCAACGCCGCGUGCAGGAUGAUGGCCUUCGGGUUGUAAACUGCUUUUAUAAGCGAGAAAUAUGAUGGUAACUUAUGAAUAAGGAUCGGCUAACUACGUGCCAGCAGCCGCGGUCAUACGUAGGAUCCGAGCAUUAUCCGGAGUGACUGGGUGUAAAGAGUUGCGUAGGUGGCAUAAUAAGUAGCUAGUGAAAUCUGGUGGCUCAACCAUUCAGACUAUUAGCUAAACUGUUAAGCUCGAGACCGUUAGGGGUAACUGGAAUUUCUAGUGUAGGAGUGAAAUCCGUAGAUAUUAGAAGGAACACCAAUAGCGUAGGCAGGUUGCUGGGACGGUUCUGACACUAAGGCACGAAAGCGUAGGGAGCAAACGGGAUUAGAUACCCCUGUAGUC
rnacentral:rRNA from 1 species